CUCUCAGUCACGUCACUCAGUCAGUCAGUCUCUCAGUCACGUCACUCAGUCAGUCAGUCUCUCAGUCACGUCACUCAGUCAGUCAGUCUCUCAGUCACGUCACUCACUCAGUCACGUCACUCAGUCACUCACUCACUCAGUCAGUCACUCAGUCAGUCACUCAGUCAUUUACUCACUCAGUCACUCACCCAGUCACUCACCCAGCCAGUCAGUCAUGUCACUUACUCAGUCACGUCACUCACUCACUCCGCCACUCACCCAGUCAGUCACUCACUCACUCACUCACUCCGCCACUCACCCAGCCAGUCACUCACUCACUCACUCCGCCACUCACCCAGUCAGUCACUCACUCACUCACUCCGCCAC